UGGUGGAGCUAGCUGUGGCAGGCAGCUGUUCACCCCCUUUACCACCUCCGUGUAAUUUAGCAGGGUUGGCGGGCGGGAGGUGGGGGAGAGAUCAGGCGCCUGAAGACAGGAUGGGCUGGGGAGCUCCCUUGAUAGUGUUGACAGUGAGAAGGAUGAAUGGAGGAAUGGCGAUCUCUAACCCCUUCUCACCCCAUUCUGAGCUGACCUAAGGGCACCUCUCACCCACAUGUUGGUGAGGCAAGGGAAGGACCCACGGACAUGAAGAGACCAAGAUAUCUCCAUCUCAAGAGGCCUGCUCCCAUCCUCACUUCUCAAGAUACCUAGCUGACCACCAGCACCCUUAACGCACAGGACCAACCAACCUCUACCAGGAUUGCACCUCCCCUGACCUGCAGCCUGAGAGAUCUCAUACCCAUCUGGCUACAGCUUUUGAUGUCCAGCACACCUGGAUGCACAGUACUGUCUGUGUGCAAUGGUGGAAGGUUUAAGCACCUGUGUAUCAGGGCUGACCAACAAAAGUUAAACUAUCUGAAGAUAUCCAGAGUAGACAGGAGCCCAGCUGGCCUUAUUGUGAAGUAUUAUUUCAACUCUGUAAAGAUGUGUUACAUUUGUUUAUGCUUCAGAAUUUAACUGUAAAGCUGCCACUGAAUGAAGAGCCUUGCUCCACCACAGGCUCCCUCCCACGAGGUUCUGACAGGUUCGGAAACAACAGGACCAGGUGACCGUGGACUGAACUGUUGGAAGCCCUAGCUUAGGUAUUUUCUGCUAGUGUCAGAAAGCUGAGUAAGUUCGCAGGAAAGAGGUCUUCCCACAAUGCUCCCCAAGUCUAGUGGGGUCAAGCGGUUAUGAGCAAAAUGCACAGAGGACCUGGCCUCAGAGAACUGACCCUGGCCAAGCACUGUGGCAGCCCCGCCUGAGAAAUCUUAAAAGGCAGACCUGAAAGGACCAGCAUGCUUCCAAAUGAUGCGACUGCCCCAGAAUAGAACUCAAGAACACAGAGCUGGUUGUGUGGCACACGCAUUGGAUUCCCAACACAGAAAUGGGGGUGGGGUGGUCUGGCAGCUCAAGACCAGCCUGGUCUACAUAUCAAGUUCCAGGCCAACUGAAGUGGUUUG